rnacentral:lncRNA from 1 species
UAGCCAACGAACAUUGGCAUAUAACGAUCUACCACGAAACAUUAUAGCAGAUGUAGACGAGUGCAGUUUAGGGACUCACAACUGUGAUGACGUCAUCUCUUUCUGCAACAACACGAAGGGGUCAUUUGUCUGUAUUUGUAGGAAAAAGGAUUCAACGACGAUGGAUUUGGUUGCUCGGAUAGAGAUGAAUGCAGUUUAGAAACUCAUACAUGUGACAAAUUGACGUCUUUUUGCUCAAACACAUUUGGGUAUUAUACCUAUUCAUGUAAAAUCGGCUUUAUCGAGACUGGAAGAGGAUGCACAGCGGAUGCGUGUUUGACGCCACCCGUGCUGUUUGGUGCUAAAGUGAUUAAAAAGUCAGAAGAUGGGAUGAAGAUCACGUAUGGUUGUAAAGAUGAUUUCAAAUUACAAGAAGGAAAUCCGACAGCAACGUGUUCCAGCCAAACUGGAGUCUGGGAACUCUCUACCAUGAUCUGUGAUCGCAAGUUGUUAUUACCUGCAUUCAACCCAGUGCCAAGCUAAGGUUGAGAAAGAAGCCUUGUACGUCGGGACGAAAUCCACGUAACGAUUUCUUCGUCCGAGGUGCCCUGCUAGAGGUUUGAUUGACAAUACCCUCAUACUCACGCCACGUGGAACAUCUAUCCCUACUAUUUCUACGUCAACAGCAUGUCAGAGGUGAACAAUUACUGUCGGGAUCUCGAGUACGAAGGCGAGGUCUGGUGUUACACGACCCAUAACAACACACGAUGGCAGCGCUGCGAUGUACCCACGUGUAAUCCAGCCCCAAAAUGCAGCGUUGCACCUUUUAUGCAAGGAAGUAAAGUAUUCAUGAAAAAACAUCCAAAUGGCACUGUGACGGCGAAAUAUGAAUGUCAAGAGGACUAGUCCAAGUAAACAAUCUUCUGGUCAUGUCUAUUGAUGAUAGCGACUGGAAAUUGGAACAUGAUAUAAUCUGUGCUCUCCGACUCUUUGUCCAUCUGACGCAGUGAACGCCUCACCCGAGCUGACAGUUCGAUG